CAAACGGCCCUUUUCAGGGCCAACAAAAUAAAAAAAUAUAAUAUA
rfam:Beta vulgaris subsp. vulgaris contig137968.1, whole genome shotgun sequence.